rnacentral:tRNA from 2 species
GCCUCUAUGGUGGAAUCGGUAGACACAGCAGACUCAAAAUCUGCCCUUUAAGAGUUCAAGUCUCUUUAGAGGUA